rnacentral:tRNA from 1 species
GCGAGUGUAGCUCAGUGGUAGAGCGCUACCUUGCCAAGGUAGAUGUCGAGGGUUCGAGCCCCUUCACUCGCUCCA